UUCUCCCGCUCUCUAAAGUGACUGCCUCUCGUCCUCAGAAAAACAUGAAACCACACCCAUGAAACAUAAAGGCGCCAUGAGCCACUGAACAUGCACUGUAGCCAAGCAAGCAGGACUCCCAUCCACUUGACGAGAGACAGAGAGCCACUAUGGAAGGAGGCCAGAUUCGCUCUAAUGUCCCAUCCCACCUAGGAUGGUCCAUCUUCAACACUCUGUGUUGCUGUCUGCCUUUGGGCAUCGCUGCUAUCGUCUAUUCCUGUAAUGUUCAGAAUGCUAACACCAUUGGAGCAGUGGCCAAUGCUGAGAGCGCAUCCAGGACUGCCAAGAAGCUGAACAUCAUCGCGACUGUCUUAGGACUAAUUCUCCUCAUCAUUAUCAUGGUGAUCAAAUUCACUCUCGGGAAUAGUCAGUAAAAAUCUGAGGUUCCUCUUUUUGCCAGUAAUUGUGAUGGACUCGGAGAAAAAUAUUUCUUACUGUGUGCCUCCCCUCACCCACCUACUAAACAGAAGCAGAUGUGGAACACCCCUCGCAUGCGUUUGUCUUUGAAAUGAUAAUAAUCAGAUAAAAAAAUUCGUUGCAACAUUGUGCAACCAGAUUAAGGCAUUUAAAAACCGUAUUCAUAUGAUAACUCGUGCUUCUUAGUUGCUUUCUUUGGGUGAUUUCUAUGUAAAAAAGCUAAAUAACUGUGCCGACACUUAAGCUUGCGUUUAUGUAAUGGAAACAAACAAAUUUUUUAAAUUUUUUGAUGCAAAAUAACAGUGUUCAAAAUUUGAGUUUAAAUGAAGGAUGUGGUUUAUAUGUUGGCUGUGGGCUUCCCCUCACCCACCUCACAAGGGGAAGCAGAUGUUUAGCACACCUCGCACGUACGUGCAACAAGAUUAAGGCAUUUGAAAACCACUUUCUUAUGAUAACUCCUGCUUCUUAGUUGCUUUCUUUGUGUGAUUUGUAUCUACAAAAGCUAAACAACUGUGCAGACACUUAAGCUUGCAUUUAUAUAAUGUAACCAACCAAAGUGCAAAUAUAAACUUGUUCAAAAUUUGAGUUUAAAUGAAGGAUGUGGUUUAUAUGUUGACAUCUUUUAAAAUGCAGCUGAUAAUUGUGUAAUGGUGAUUUGCCAAUGUAAUUCAGUGUAUUGUAUAUUGUAGAGUAUAUUCACAAUGUACUGUACACUAAAUUAGAAAAAACAAAAUAAAAGCCAGUACAUGUG